rnacentral:rRNA from 1 species
GACGAACGCUGGCGGCGUGCUUAACACAUGCAAGUCGAACGGAAAGGCCCUGCUUUUGUGGGGUGCUCGAGUGGCGAACGGGUGAGUAACACGUGAGUAACCUGCCCUUGACUUUGGGAUAACUUCAGGAAACUGGGGCUAAUCCCGGAUAGGAGCUCCUGCUGCAUGGUGGGGGUUGGAAAGUUUCGGCGGUUGGGGAUGGACUCGCGGCUUAUCAGCUUGUUGGUGGGGUAGUGGCUUACCAAGGCUUUGACGGGUAGCCGGCCUGGGAGGGUGACCGGCGACAUUGGGACUGAGAUACGGCCCAGACUCCUACGGUAGGCAGCAGUGGGGAAUAUUGCACAAUGGGCGGAAGCCUGAUGCAGCAACGCCGCGGGCGGGAUGACGGCCUUCGGGGUGUAAACCGCUUUCGCCUGUGGCGAAGCGUGAGUGACGGUAAUGGGUAAAGAAGCACCGGCUAACUACGUG